CAGCAAUGGGCACAGGCAAGGGAAGGAGGGUUUAGGCUCAGGAAGAGUUAGAGGCUUUCUGGGUUGUCAAAGUUGCUGGGCAUGGUUCUUUUAUACCAUAGAGGAAUGGUACUAGAGGGUCGAGGUGGGAAAUGGAUUCCUUUAGAUGACUCAAAAAAGUUUGUUUGUUUGUUCUGGUUUUUAAUGAGAAGACUGCUCAUAGGAAUGGGGCUAGAGAUUAGGGAAGCAACUGAAGACUUGGAGCUAUCCAUGUCCCAGCAACAACAGGAAGCUGUAUCAUCUUGUCACAGGAGAAGACAGUAUUAUAAGGGCCUAUUGAAACUCAGUGUCAUAGAGGAGGAUACUUCAACACAGAAGAUACAGCUACUGUCAUCAAAAGCAUCUCUGGAACUAAGAAGAUGGGGAGAAAUACAAGGGGAUAUUUGUAGGAAUCCUGAAUGGGUCAGAGCCAGACAGAAGGCAGCUAGCAGGAGAACCAAAGUUCAUCAGUCUACAGAAGUCACCUCCCCCAGUCACAAGUUGGGGAAAAGGAAGGCAGUGAAUUUGGGUUGGAAGCAAAUGAGGGGCAAGAACAGAACGCAGGAGAUCUCAGUCUUAAGGCAGGGAUCUGGAGGCACCUCAUGCUGAGUGGACAGCUGUGAGUUGGAAAUCUGAAGCCACACGGAGAAUAAAGAAGCCACGGAACACA
rnacentral:lncRNA from 1 species